AGCCAUCUCCCUUAAGACUUUGGGACUGAACCAUCUAAGCAAGGCUAUGUGUCUCAAAUAUUACUGUUCACAACCAAACUUUCAAAGAAAUUACCCGGGCGAGCGAAGUCUUUUCUUACGCGCAUCGAGAGGAGAAUAGAAACCUACAGUCAAAAAAAAGAAAGAGAGGAGACAGAAACCCUUGAGCUAGCUAGUGUUCCAGCAAGCGACUGCUCCUCCGCCGCCCGUCCGGACUCUCGCCGGCGUCGCGCGGCCGCUCCCUACCUCCGCCCUCGAGUCCUCGACCCCUCGUCCUGCUCUGCUCCAGCACAGAAACUCCACCUCCCCUCCAUCCUGAGCAGGAAGCGUCCCUACCUCCGCGUUUCCUCUGGACAAUCUGCCGGCGGCGAGGCGCUAGUCCGGCGAGGCCCAGCUCCUUUGUUUCUUCGUCCCGUGCCCGGUCUGAGGAGGACACGAAUCGCAUCCCCGACCAGCAAGCCGCCCCCAUUUUGUGCUCCUCACGGCCGGCCGAAUCUUUCCCUGAGAUUAGUAUAUCAUCAAAAAAGACCAGGAGAAAUUUCCUCAAGAAGGGAGCAAAAAAUGUCAUUCAUCAGGGACUGAAAAGUUGCUGGGACAUUUGUGAGACCAAAUGGCAUAACAAGACUUUUGGUAGUUGGGCACCCCUUUUGGCCUUAAAUUGGGUGGUUCUGCCCCACUGUGAAGUAAGAUAGCAUGGUCACCGCUUCUCUUUGGAGUGAGGAAUUGUAGUAUUACAAAGCUCCACGAGUGUGAAUUUUGCUGAACCAUGAUGGGGGUGUGCAACCGUUAAAAGUGCUCCAGACACAUCACUCCUUGUACAAAUUUCAGUUUGUACAAGACUGGGACCUAAUACAGCUGUACUCCUACAACUGUUCAGAUUGGAUUCUAGGAGAGCCAAUCCAGCUUAUUUAUAUUUUCUUCGCCAUUUCAAAGUUUCUUAUGGGUGACUGUUUGAUGUAUGAGUUAGCAUGCUUUUACCUGACUAAAUUUUGUUUCUCAUGGAUAACUUCUUUGUGCAAAUAUGAGUUGAGAUUUUUGUACAUCGAUGUUGUAAAUGAGACCGGUUAACUGUUUGUGUUUUGGAAUGACUGCAUGUCAAAGCAUGCAUCUGUGUAUAUCUACGAACGCCCAAAGUUAUCAGUUUUAAGUAUUA